rnacentral:rRNA from 1 species
UGGUGGAGUGAUUUGUCUGGUUAAUUCCGUUAACGAACGAGACCACAGCCUCUAAUUACUUCGGCAUGAGUUCUUCAUGUUUGAGGUCCUAGAGGGACUGUCGGUGAUCAACCGACGGAAGUGUGUGGCAAUAACA